UCAUCUGCUCACCAACCUAUCAACAUUUGGAUUCAUUGGCGAAAGGGUCUUAACACGAAUAUGCUCUCAAGAUUCCUGCGAUCCAUCAAAGAUUCGCGGUCAAAUCCAACAAGGAGUGUCUGUCUGCGACAUUUCUGCGCAAAUCUAAAGGCACAAAAUCACUGCAUCUUGGGGCCGCCGAAGAUCCCUCUCCUCGUUGAUAAAUAUGCUCGAUCCCACAGCCUCGAAUGGAUUUGGUUUUGGCUCUUCUUCCAAUCGCGAUCAUCGACCCCCAACUCCCAGAAUCUGAUCUUCUGUAAUCCGCCUUCCUCUUCAGUGGAUUUUGUCUUGUGUCGUGGCGGUAAUCGAAGACUGCUUAUGGUCUUGAUGAUUCUGUCGAGAACAAUUUCCCAGCCUUCAUGGAUCUCGCUACUCUCAGCCUCUGCUUCCUCCACUCCUUCUCCGUGUUCCUCCUCUACUGGUUCUAUGUGAUCUCAUGAACUGACUCACAUCGCUUCAUCCAUUCACUUCGAGUUCGAUCCGAUUUCGACUAGAAAGAGCAUGUCUUCCUUCCCGAUCCGCCGGGCUUCGAGUUCCGAGGGGGACUCGCAACCAGUGAUCGAUGAGAGGAAGAGGAAGCGGAUUCUCUCGAACCGGGAGUCCGCGCGGAGGUCAAGGAUGAAGAAGCAGCAGCAUCUAAACGAUCUGAUGAACCAAAUGGCGCACAUCAAGAUCCAAAACAGUCAGAUCGCGGAGCAGACCGAUCUCGUGACGCAGCAGUACACCAAGGUGGAAUCGGACAACGCCGUGCUGAGGGCGCAGCUGAGCGAGUUGAUGGAGAGGCUGCAGUCGGUGAACUCGGUGCUCCGGUUCGUGGAGGAGGCCAGUGGGAUGACCUUGGACAUACCCAGUAUACCGAGCUCUCUCCUGAAGCCAUGUAAGCUUCCGACCAUGGCCACUGCUGACAGAAUCCAGUUCUGAAAACUCCAUUGUUGUGCAAGGUAUGUCCUCGCCUGUCUCCAUCACUGUUCCAUCAGUUCCCCGGUUCUGUUGAUUGGUAUGUUUGAGCCAGUAACAUUAUCAUUCUGUAAGGAUGUUCUUCUGAUGUCUUAGAAGAGGCUACAACAUUUGAAUCUGAUUCCAUUGUAUCUGAUUCUACUUGGGUUACUCAAGAUUUGGAUGUGAGCACUUCACAGAAUCA